rnacentral:rRNA from 1 species
AGAACGAACGCUGGCGGCAUGCCUAACACAUGCAAGUCGAACGAGACCUUCGGGUCUAGUGGCGCACGGGUGCGUAACGCGUGGGAAUCUGCCCUUGGGUACGGAAUAACAGUUAGAAAUGACUGCUAAUACCGUAUAAUGACUUCGGUCCAAAGAUUUAUCGCCCAGGGAUGAGCCCGCGUCGGAUUAGCUAGUUGGUAGGGUAAAAGCCUACCAAGGCGACGAUCCGUAGCUGGUCUGAGAGGAUGAUCAGCCACACUGGGACUGAGACACGGCCCAGACUCCUACGGGAGGCAGCAGUGGGGAAUAUUGGACAAUGGGCGAAAGCCUGAUCCAGCAAUGCCGCGUGAGUGAUGAAGGCCUUAGGGUUGUAAAGCUCUUUUACCCGGGAUGAUAAUGACAGUACCGGAGAAUAAGCCCGGCUAACUCCGUGCCAGCAGCCGC